rnacentral:lncRNA from 1 species
GCCCCCCUAACGUGUUUUCUCGCAAGAAUGAGUAUAAAAUCGGUCGAAAAUAACCAGACAGAGGCAAACUGCCGCCUCGGAUGGCAGUGCCAUCAUCGGAGCACAGCGGUGCCGCCGUGCCGGAAUUUCAAAAUUGGCCGGAAAAGGUUUUUAACAUCGAUUUUAGAUUUUUUUGGAGUAUUUUUAUAUAUGUGAAGAGUGUUUUAAUCUCCAC